UUGACGGCGUGCCCGGCACUCCACAAAAUGCCGCGCACAGCAUGUAUAAGGAGGAUGUAUUUAUCCCCGGGCUCGGGGUGCGGCAGUGUGGAGACCUGUCGCAAGGCGGCGCGCCCCACAGCGGGCGGCCGUGAGGGUAUUCAGGCGGAGGCCGGAUAUCCGGAGCCGGAAAGCAUGGCU
rnacentral:ncRNA from 1 species